GAUGAACGCUGGCGGCGUGCCUAAUACAUGCAAGUCGAGCGAACAGACGAGGAGCUUGCUCCUCUGACGUUAGCGGCGGACGGGUGAGUAACACGUGGAUAACCUACCUAUAAGACUGGGAUAACUUCGGGAAACCGGAGCAAAUACCGGAUAAUAUAUUGAACCGCAUGGUUCAAUAGUGAAAGACGGUUUUGCUGUCACUUAUAGAUGGAUCCGCGCCGCAUUAGCUAGUUGGUAAGGUAACGGCUUACCAAGGCAACGAUGCGUAGCCGACCUGAGAGGGUGAUCGGCCACACUGGAACUGAGACACGGUCCAGACUCCUACGGGAGGCAGCAGUAGGGAAUCGUCCGCAAUGGGCGAAAGCCUGACGGAGCAACGCCGCGUGAGUGAUGAAGGUCUUCGGAUCGUAAAACUCUGUUAUUAGGGAAGAACAAAUGUGUAAGUAACUAUGCACGUCUUGACGGUACCUAAUCAGAAAGCCACGGCUAACUACGUG
rnacentral:rRNA from 1 species